ensembl:misc_RNA Metazoa_SRP Metazoan signal recognition particle RNA
GUCGGUUAUGGUGGCUUGUGCCUGUAGUCCCAGAUACUCAGGAGGCUGAGGCAGGAGAAUUGCUUGAGCCCGGGGAGACUGAGGCUGCAGUGAGGUGAGAUCACACCACUGCACUCCAGCCUGGGCAACAGAGCAAUAUACUGUCUCAA